rnacentral:rRNA from 1 species
CCGCUAAMBAUGCAUYGAACCGGUAAGCCCUUCGGGGUABACGAGUGGCCAACGGGUGAGUAACGCGUGAGUKACCUGCCCUUCACUCUGGGAUAKCAGUUGGAAACGGCUGCUAAUACCGGAUAUUCAGCUCCUGUCCGCAUGGUGGGGGUUGGAAAGUUUUGGUGGUGGAGGAUGGGCUCGCGUCCUAUCAGCUUGUUGGUGGGGUGAUGGCCUACCAAGGCGUCGACGGGUAGCCGGCCUGAGAGGGCGACCGGCCACAUUGGGACUGAGAUACGGCCCAAACUCCUACGGGAGGCAGCAGUGGGGAAUAUUGCACAAUGGGCGGAAGCCUGAUACAGCAACGCCGCGUGCGGGAUGACGGCCUUCGGGUUGUAAACCGCUUUCAGCAGGGACGAAGCGUGAGUGACGGUACCUGCAGAAGAAGCACCGGCUAACUACGUGCCAGCAGCCGCGGUGAUACGUAGGGUGCGAGCGUUGUCCGGAUUUAUUGGGCGUAAAGAGCUUGUAGGCGGUUGGUUGCGUCGAAAGUGCAAACUCAGGGCUUAACUCUGAGCCUGCUUUCGAUACGGGCUGACUGGAGGAAGGUAGGGGAGAAUGGAAUUCCCGGUGGAGCGGUGGAAUGCGCAGAUAUCGGGAGGAACACCAGUGGCGAAGGCGGUUCUCUGGACCUUUCCUGACGCUGAGAAGCGAAAGCGUGGGGAGCAAACAGGCUUAGAUACCCUGGUAGUCCACGCUGUAAACGGUGGGUACUAGGUGUGGGGGACAUUCCACGUUCUCUGUGCCGUAGCUAACGCAUUAAGUACCCCGCCUGGGGAGUACGGUCGCAAGACUGAAACUCAAAGGAAUUGACGGGGCCCGCACAAGCGGAGGAACAUGUGGUUUAAUUCGAUGAUACGCGAGGAACCUUACCUGGGCUUGAAAGGGGAACGACCUCCCGGGAAACCGGGAUUCUCUUCGGAGCGUUCUCCUAGGUGCUGCAUGGUUGUCGUCAGCUCGUGCCGUGAGGUGUCGGGUUAAGUCCCAUAACGAGCGCAACCCCUAUUGUUAGUUACCAGCGGGUAAUGCCGGGGACUCAUGGGAGACUGCCAGGGACAACCUGGAGGAAGGCGGGGAUGACGUCAAGUCAUCAUGCCCCUUAUGUCUUGGGCUACACACGUACUACAAUGGUCGGCAACAAAGGGCAGCGAAACCGCGAGGUGGAGCAAAUCCCAGAAACCCGGCCUCAGUUCGGAUUGCAGGCUGCAACUCGCCUGCAUGAAGUCGGAAUCGCUAGUAAUCGCGGGUCAGCAUACUGCGGUGAAUACGUCCCCGGGCCUUGUACACACCGCCCGUCAAGUCAUGAAAGUCGGUARCACCCGAAGCCGGUGGCCUAACCCUUGUGGAGGGAGCUGUCGAAGGUGGGAGCGGUAA